GCCCGGACCUCACGUUAUCACUGCUGGGGUAACAGCAAUUGCCCAGCAAUUGGUUAAAGUGGCUUCAGAAGAAGAAAGGGACAAUUCUUCACCUCUAACUCUCUCCUGGAUUCUUCUGCACCACCAGGACAGCUCUGUGGCUCAGCAGCUAAUGCAGGCUAUCUGGCUGUGCAAUGAAGUUAACAAGCAUAUGCAACAACCAGCCCCCAGUCCUGCACAGGACCCCCAGCUUUGAUUCAGUAGCACUGGAAGUCAGAGCAAAGACUGGGAGCAAGCUAACCUUCCCUCCUGGAGACAGAUCCAGGCCACACAGUUUGGAUCCAGACCUACCCAGAUGCCAGAGCUCCACCAGUGUGGCAAAACUUCAUUCUUAUUACAGAAUUGCUGGCUGUGGCAACUGCCACCCUCUGUAAGUCAUUUGAUGUGCAAAGAAGCUGUCCCACCAGUAACAUGCAGU